rnacentral:rRNA from 1 species
GAACGCUGGCGGCGUGAAGAAGACAUGCAAGUCGAGCGAACGGACGAGAAGCUUGCUUUUCUGAUGUUAGCGGCGGACGGGUGAGUAACACGUGGAUAACCUACCUAUAAGACUGGGAUAACUUCGGGAAACCGGAGCUAAUACCGGAUAAUAUUUUGAACCGCAUGGUUCAAAAGUGAAAGACGGUCUUGCCGUCACUUAUAGAUGGAUCCGCGCUGCAUUAGCUAGUUGGUAAGGUAACGGCUUACCAAGGCAACGAUGCAUAGCCGACCUGAGAGGGUGAUCGGCCACACUGGAACUGAGACACGGUCCAGACUCCUACGGGAGGCAGCAGUAGGGAAUCUUCCGCAAUGGGCGAAAGCCUGACGGAGCAACGCCGCGUGAGUGAUGAAGGUCUUCGGAUCGUAAAACUCUGUUAUUAGGGAAGAACAUAUGUGUAAGUAACUGUGCACAUCUUGACGGUACCUAAUCAGAAAGCCACGGCUAACUACGUG